AACGAACGCUGGCGGCGUGCCUAAUACAUGCAAGUCGAACGAGAAAGCACCUUCGGGUGUAAGUAAAGUGGCAGACGGGUGAGUAGUACAUAGGUAACCUACCCCUGAGAGAGGAAUAACCUUCCGAAAGGAGGGCUAAUACCCCAUAAGACCACGGCUACUACUGUAGCUGCGGUAAAAGGUGGCCUCUAUUUAUAAGCUAUCGCUUAGGGAUGGGCUUAUGCACCAUUAGCUAGUUGGUAGGGUAAUGGCCUACCAAGGCUACGAUGGUCAGCUGAUCUGAGAGGUUGAUCAGCCACACUGGAACUGAGACACGGUCCAGACUCCUACGGGAGGCAGCAGUAGGGAAUUUUGCGCAAUGGAGGAAACUCUGACGCAGCGACGCCGCGUGGGUGAUGAAGGCCUUCGGGUCGUAAAGCCCUGUCGGGAGAGACGAAAGUCGGGAUGGCUAACAUCCAUUCCGUUUGACGGUAUCUCUAAAGGAAGCACCGGCUAACUACGUGCCAGCCGCCGCCGUAAUAC
rnacentral:rRNA from 1 species